rnacentral:rRNA from 1 species
UACGAAGGUCCCGAGCGUUAUCCGGAUUUAUUGGGUUUAAAGGGUGCGUAGGCGGGUUGUUAAGUCAGUGGUGAAAUCUUACAGCUUAACUGUAAAAUUGCCAUUGAUACUGACGAUCUUGAGUAUGGUUGAGGUGGGCGGAAUGUGUCAUGUAGCGGUGAAAUGCUUAGAUAUGACACAGAACACCGAUUGCGAAGGCAGCUCACUAAGCCAUUACUGACGCUGAUGCACGAAAGCGUGGGGAGCAAACAGG